ensembl:miRNA
CUAUUAGGUUGGUGCAAAAGUAAUUGUGGUUUUUGCCAUUAGUUUAAAUUACCUUUAAUGGCAAAAACCACAAUCACUUUUGCACCAACCUAAUAGAUUG